rnacentral:rRNA from 1 species
UACAGAGGGUGCAAGCGUUAAUCGGAAUUACUGGGCGUAAAGCGCGCGUAGGUGGUUUGUUAAGUUGAAUGUGAAAUCCCCGGGCUCAACCUGGGAACUGCAUGCAAAACUGGCAAGCUAGAGUAUGGUAGAGGGUGGUGGAAUUUCCUGUGUAGCGGUGAAAUGCGUAGAUAUAGGAAGGAACACCAGUGGCGAAGGCGGACCACCUGGACUGA